CACCUCAUCUUGCAGAUUUUCUCCAGGAGAGUCUCUUUGUUAGACAUUUCCCAGUGGAGUUUUCGUUGUGAUUUUACCCUUGUGUUGUAUUGGCGUUCUCCCCAAUAUAUGCAGUUUUCCCCGGCAGGGAGGUUCUGUGUGGAUCUUUCCCCAGUCCGAAUCCGGAUUUUCAUCCGAGGUAUCCUUCGUGGAUAGUUUGAGUCAGCUUGAGUCUUUCCAAUGGAUGUGUCUUCCUUUGGAAUUCUUCUUUUCCCCAGUUUGAGUCCUUUACUCCCCAGUGAGGUCUCUAGUCCAGUCGUGUCCUGUUCACGCCGUGUCAGUUUUCCCUAAUCCAGAGUCGUGUCCUGCUCACGCAUUUCUUUUUCUUAUCCCCAUGAGAGUCCUGUUAGAGUCUCUAUUCCUGGUGAGUGUAUUACUCUGAUGGAUCGUCUUUUCUUUGUGGACCCAUAUUCCCCACAGAGUUUUGUUUGUUUUGCACUCAUACAUUUGCAUCAUGAGGUCUCUUAGGGACCAAAAUUUGUCUCAUUACUGUUAUUUAAGCCCAUUCUACCGCGUCGAGAUGAAGACUUUAACCUUCACUUCUCCGGCUAGAAUGACCUUAAAUAGGGGCAUCUGUAAGACCCCAAUUUUGUCCCUAAGAUCCCUCAUGGCAUCAUAUCAUAUCAUUGCAUUGCCUCAAGGAUCAUUGGACACCUUGCUUCCUUCCCUGUGGGUGGGUCAUCUGUUUGAGAAUGAUUCUUGAUCACCAAGCAUUCAUUGCAUUUGUACAUCAUUGCUUUUCUUUUUAUCACUAACCAAAAGUACAAAAAUAUGUCAUCUAACCUUUGUCUUGC
rnacentral:lncRNA from 1 species